rnacentral:rRNA from 1 species
GGAGCUUGCUCUUGGGGAUUAGUGGCGAACGGGUGAGUAACACGUGAGUAACCUGCCCUUGACUCUGGGAUAAGCGUUGGAAACGACGUCUAAUACCGGAUACGAGCUUCAGCCGCAUGGCUAGGAGCUGGAAAGAAUUUCGGUCAAGGAUGGACUCGCGGCCUAUCAGCUAGUUGGUGAGGUAAUGGCUCACCAAGGCGACGACGGGUAGCCGGCCUGAGAGGGUGACCGGCCACACUGGAACUGAGACACGGUCCAGACUCCUACGGGAGGCAGCAGUGGGGAAUAUUGCACAAUGGGCGAAAGCCUGAUGCAGCAACGCCGCGUGAGGGACGACGGCCUUCGGGUUGUAAACCUCUUUUAGCAGGGAAGAAGCGAAAGUGACGGUACCUGCAGAAAAAGCACCGGCUAACUACGUGCCAGCAGCCGCGGUAAUACGUAGGGUGCAAGCGUUGUCCGGAAUUAUUGGGCGUAAAGAGCUCGUAGGCGGUUUGUCGCGUCUGCUGUGAAAUCCCGAGGCUCAACCUCGGGUCUGCAGUGGGUACGGGCAGACUAGAGUGCGGUAGGGGAGAUUGGAAUUCCUGGUGUAGCGGUGGAAUGCGCAGAUAUCAGGAGGAACACCGAUGGCGAAGGCAGAUCUCUGGGCCGUAACUGACGCUGAGGAGCGAAAGGGUGGGGAGCAAACAGGCUUAGAUACCCUGGUAGUCCACCCCGUAAACGUUGGGCGCUAGAUGUGGGGACCAUUCCACGGUUUCCGUGUCGUAGCUAACGCAUUAAGCGCCCCGCCUGGGGAGUACGGCCGCAAGCUAAACUCAAAGGAAUUGACGGGGGCC